AUGAAGCUAUGGGAGAGAGUCAUUGAGCACCGCUUAAGAAGAAUGACAAGCGUGACCAAAAAUCGGUUUGGUUUCAUGCCUGGGAGGUCGACCAUGGAAGCCAUUUUCUUGGUACGACAAUUUAUGGAAAGAUAUAGGGAGCAAAAGAAGGACUUGCAUAUGGUGUUCAUUGACUUGGAGAAGGCCUAUGAUAAGAUACCGCGGAAUGUCAUGUGGUGGGCCUUGGAGAAACACAAAGUUCCAGCAAAGUACAUUACCCUCAUCAAGGACAUGUACAAUAAUGUUGUGACAAGUGUUCGAACAAGUGAUGUCGACACCGAUGACUUCCCGAUUAAGAUAGGACCGCAUCAGGGGUCAACUUUGAGCCCUUAUCUUUUUGCAUUGGUGAUGGAUGAGGUCACAAGGGAUAUACAAGGAGAUAUCCCAUGGUGUAUGCUCUUUGCGGAUGAUGUGGUGCUAGUUGACGAUAGUCGGACGGGGGUAAAUAGGAAGUUAGAGUUAUGGAGACAAACCUUGGAAUCGAAAGGGUUUAGGCUUAGUAGAACUAAAACCGAGUACAUGAUGUGCGGUUUCAGUACUUCUAGGUGUGAGGAGGAGGAGGUUAGCCUUGAUGGCCAGGUGGUACCUCGGAAGGACACCUUUCGGUAUUUGGGGUCAAUGUUGCAGGAGGAUGGGGGUAUUGAUGAAGAUGUGAACCAUCGAAUCAAAGCCGGAUGA
rnacentral:rRNA from 1 species